rnacentral:sRNA from 1 species
CUACCCUUGGGGUAUUCGGAGCCUACCUUUGGGCCUUGCUUCUCCAUGCCCAGAGGCAAGCCCCCCGCCCCAUCCCCUAGGGGACAGAAAGCCAGCCCCCCUACCUUAGCCCCUGCCACUGCCAGUCCCCCCACCACUGCAGGGAGCAACAACCCCUGCCUCACACAGCUGCUCACAGCAGCCAAGCCGGAGCAAGCCCUGGAGCCACCACUUGUAUCCAGCACCCUCCUCCAGUCCCCAGGGUCCCCGGUAAGAUCUCGGGCACUGGGUGGUGGGGCUGUGCCCACGGCCUUCACCCUGACUCUCCGCCCUUCUCCACCCCAGCAGGAGACAGUCCCUGAAUUCCCCUGCACAUUCCUUCCCCCGACCCCGGCCCCUACACCGCCCCGGCCACCUCCAGGCCCGGCCACAUUGGCCCCUUCCAGGCCCCUGCUUGUCCCCAAAGCGGAGCGGCUCUCACCCCCAGCGCCCAGCGGUAAAGAGAGGGGUUGCAGGGAUUGGGGGAAUCUAGGGGAUGAGGGGAAGAGGAGGAAGAAGAAGGGGACUGGGUCUGGGGCCAGAUGAGAGGAAGGGGGCAAUGGGGACCCCUUCCCCUGGGUCGGUCUUUCUGUGGGUCUAUCUGUCCCUACCACAGGCAGUGAACGGCGGCUGUCAGGGGACCUCAGCUCCAUGCCAGGCCCUGGGACUCUGAGCGUCCGUGUCUCUCCCCCGCAACCCAUCCUCAGCCGGGGCCGUCCAGACAGCAACAAGACCGAGAACCGGCGUAUCACACACAUCUCCGCGGAGCAGAAGCGGCGCUUCAACAUCAAGCUGGGGUUUGACACCCUUCAUGGGCUCGUGAGCACACUC